AAAUUGAAGAGUUUGAUCAUGGCUCAGAUUGAACGCUGGCGGCAGGCCUAACACAUGCAAGUCGAACGGUAACAGGAAGCAGCUUGCUGUUUCGCUGACGAGUGGCGGACGGGUGAGUAAUGUCUGGGAAACUGCCUGAUGGAGGGGGAUAACUACUGGAAACGGUGGCUAAUA
rnacentral:rRNA from 1 species